GGGGAAUUAGCUCAGUUGGCUAGAGCGUCUGACUGGCAGUCAGAAGGUCGCAGGUUCGAUUCCUGUAUUCUCCA
rnacentral:tRNA from 1 species